rnacentral:tRNA from 2 species
CGCGGGAUGGAGCAGUUGGCAGCUCGUUGGGCUCAUAACCCAAAGGUCACAGGUUCGAGUCCUGUUCCCGCCACCA